UAUGAAGUAGUGGUGUUUUCUAGCGAUAUUUUCUUUUUCCUUCGUUUUUUAUUUUUUGCAUUUUUCAUUUAAUAAAUUUGUAUAUUUAUUUUAUUUGUUAAAUGUUGGGAGUCGACUCAACGUUAGGCUUGCAUGGAUGUGAUCCUCCCUUAGAUUUUCCAUGAAAAUUAUUUUUUAUUUUAUUUUUAAAUUUUUUUUUAGUAAUUAGUUCUACUUUUUGUUUAGUUAAUUAACAUUGAUUAUUUGAUAAUUAAGGAAUGAGACAGCUUUACCGUGUGGAAACCACCAAGCCUCCAUAUUCAGGCUUGGGCCCAGACAUCCCAUUUUUAAGAGUGGCCCAUACUAAAACUGGGCCUACAAUAUGCAUACACUUCAACAAUCUUCUAGUCAUUUUCCCUUCUUAAUCAUAAUCAUAAGAAGGGGAUGUUUGUUUUCAGAGAAAAAAAAGGUGGGGUCAUCUUCUGAGGUUCGGAGUUGAGCGAGCCACCCAGUCUGGGAAUUGGAGAAGAAAAUCUAUGCACCCACGGAUAUGCUCCUGGCUGAAGUUGGCGUGCACUGUUCAUUUUUGUCAUACCCUAGUUAGUCCAUUUUGUGUGGGCCACAGUGGAAUGGAGCUGAAAGUGAAGUGUUUCAAUACGGCAACUCUUCCUAUACGGCCUUUGCAUAUGGUAAGAGAAUUAUCCAUAUGGGGAAUGGAAUGGAUAUGCACAAAGCCUACAGAGUUGGCACUUGAUCAAAACUGAAAGCUGCCAAAACACACAGUGCCUAGAUGAUGACACUAGUAGAUUAUCCAGUUUUGAACUGUUAUCAUUGGAGUUAAGACACUUGUCGCAAUCAUAUCCUUUACACAUCACCAACCCCAUCUUGUGAAAUAGAUAUACAAUGGGGCACUAGGGACUUACAGCCGUGGGUAUAUGGACUUCUUCCAUGAGACCAUUACGGUACUGUGACAGAAAAUUUGAGGGCCGAAUAGACCCUAAAGUGGGUUGCUUGGGGCAUCCAAUAUUUUAAUACUCAUUUUUAGUACAGUGGGUUGUCAAAUCGGCUGUUUUUAAUGCAGGAUUCCCAUUAAA